GAUGAAGAACGUAGCGAAAUGCGAUAAGUAAUGUGAAUUGCAGAAUUCAGUGAAUCAUCGAAUCUUUGAACGCACAUUGCGCCCUCUGGUAUUCCGGGGGGCAUGCCUGUUCGAGCGUCAUUAUAACCACUCAAGCUCUCGCUUGGUAUUGGGGCUCGCGGUUCCGCGGCCCCUAAAAUCAGUGGCGGUGCCUGUCGGCUCUACGCGUAGUAAUACUCCUCGCGAUUGAGUCCCGAUAGGUCUACUUGCCAGCAACCCCCAAUUUUUACAGGUUGACCUCGGAUCAGGUAGGGAUACCCGCUGAACUUAAGCAUAUCAAUAAGCGGAGGA
rnacentral:misc_RNA from 1 species